GACGAACGCUGGCGGCGUGCUUAACACAUGCAAGUCGAACGGAAAGGCCUCUUUCGGGGGGUACUCGAGUGGCGAACGGGUGAGUAACACGUGAGUAACCUGCCCUUGACUUUGGGAUAACUUCAGGAAACUGGGGCUAAUACCGGAUAGGAGCUCCUGCUGCAUGGUGGGGGUUGGAAAGUUUCGGCGGUUGGGAUGGACUCGCGGCUUAUCAGCUUGUUGGUGGGGUAGUGGCUUACCAAGGCUUUGACGGGUAGCCGGCCUGAGAGGGUGACCGGCCACAUUGGGACUGAGAUACGGCCCAGACUCCUACGGGAGGCAGCAGUGGGGAAGAUUGCACAAUGGGUGGAAGCCUGAUGCAGCAACGCCGUGUGCGGGAUGACGGCCUUCGGGUUGUAAACCGCUUUCGCUCAUGACGAAGCUUUGUGUGACGGUAGUGGGUAAAGAAGCACCGGCUAACUACGUG
rnacentral:rRNA from 1 species